UCUGGGAAUGCUGAGUCAUGUUUUAGGCCUCUCUCAAGCUGCAGGAAUAAUUCUGCAUGAAAAUAAAGUUAAGUUUUUCUUCCUUGGUUGGGGUGUAAAAAAGAAAGCAAUGAAGAGAACUGUAGAGUUUCAGCAAGGUAACCGAAUUGAUCAGCAGCACAGUCUGAAAGAGAAACAGCAUUUUUAGUAGUACAUUCAUUUUCACUACCGAGAUUCUACUCAUCAGACCACAUGGAUGCUACCAUGUGAAGGAAGCAAAUUGGCAGGUGGAAGGAGGUGAUCAUCUGGCAUGAGGAUGCUGUGGAGCAAUGAGAAGGCAAGUUUGCUUGCAAAAGCCAGUGGAUUUGCAGAGUGGGUGGCGAGUUUGUGGUCUGAAGGUGGCUGAUAUCCAUGGCAGAAGCUGGCUGAUGUCCAAUGAUGGACCAAGCAGAUAUGGACGAGUAGCCGGAAGGUGGCUGAUGUUUGGUAGUGGACCAAGCAGAAGCUGGCAGGUGUAGGUGGAUGGAUGCUGGUGGAAUUCACAUUCGGAAGCUUUUGGACCAAAUGGCUUUGGUAGCACUUUUUGUAUAGCUUUGCAGUAGCACCAUAUUUAACUUUGCUGUUUAAUAUUGUUUGGAGCGGUGGAGCCCUCCCAAACAUUUGGUCCCCAUUGAAAAUAAUUGUUUUACCUAAACCAGGUAGAGAUCCUAAGGAAGUGGAAUCUUACAGAUGGAUCACCCUGUUCAACCAACUUUUCAGUCAUGGCUUCCAGCAGGGUGAUCCAUACAAUUGUCAAUUCGGACCAAACCAGAUUUAUCCCAGGCAGACACAACACCACAUGCAGGUUAGUCAAUAUAAUAUAUGACAGUAAUUAAGAAGAAUCCCAGCCCUUUGGUGAUGUCACUGGACAUUUACAAGGCCUUUGACUUUUUAGAAUGGGGGUACUUUUAAAGUCUUAGAACACUAUCAGAUGGGCAAAACGUUCAUGACUACUAUCAGAGUCCUCUGUGACUCUCACCAGGAUGCUGUUAGCACAGCUGCUGUGAAUUUGAACUCUGUUCAUAUUGGCAAGUGAGCAAAACAAGGUUGUCCCCUGUCCACAUUGCUCUUUGCUGUUUCUCUGGAUCCAUUAGCAGUUUCAUUGCUCAUGUAUCAAGGGUCAUCGGGGAAAGGUUGAAUAGCAUUUAUUAAACUUUUAUGCUGAUGACAUGAUGUAUAUGUUACCUAACCCUCAGGAAGCCCUACCAAUAUUCAAAUUAGAAUUAGGAAAAUUAAAAAUAAAAUACUGGGUCUUAGAACUAAUCUUAAAGAAGUUGCUGAUAACUUGUUAUAGCAUAGGUCUGAUGGAAGAAAUCAAGCUUAAGCAAAUGACUCUAGCUAAGCUGUAUUAUCGUCGGAUCCAAUAAGAAAUGGGUUGAUGUAGAAGGUGAAAUGAUACCAGACACAAAAAUAUGGGUGCUUCCUUUUAUUAGGCUCUCCAAAACAACUUUAGAUACAAUGCAUAGCCUAUACACAUUGAAUAUGCUACAGGUAUGGAAAAGGUGGCAGCGCUGUCAGUCUCUGUUAUACUUGCCUCUAAUGCCACAGUUUUCACCCUCAAGUCCAGGAUUCGGCCUUGCGUAGUACAAUCCUUUCAUGGAUUUCCAUGUUAAUGACAAACUGUUAUCCAAAGAACAACUUAAAAUAAAUACAGGAGAUCCAGGCCUAUCCUGGUUACGAGAAAGAGGUAUUUACAGAAAUUACACAAAUUUUAAAGUCUGAAAAUCAGGCAACCCCACAACUUGCAUUAAAAAAUGUGUGGGAUAACAAUCUGAAACAGUUUUCUUUAAUACAGUUAUUAACUUCAUGGCUGGCAGUUGCAAUACUACCUAUAGCACAAAAAUGGAAGACUUAACUUGAAUUACAUCCUGCAUUAUGGUGCAAAAUUAUUUGGUCUCUUGCUGGAAAAGUUAACUUUCAACAUUUGCUGUAAUCAGAGGCAAAGAACCUGUGGAACAUGCACAUGUGAUUUGGUCGGACUUUAUAUCUUAUGUUCCAACUGACAACUUACAAGACUUCUUAUCUGCACCUAAAAAAGAAAUACGUAUUUCCUGAUUAGCAUAUAUGUAUAAAUUGAAUUAUGUUUGUACUUACCCAUUUUAUGUAUGCAUCUCUUCAACAACUUUCUGGGUUGGACUUAAUUGUUCUUUGUUCUUCUGUAAAGAAAAAGAAAAUGUUAGUUUUGUGAAAUGCAAUAAAAAAAAUCAAAAAAGAAGCAGGCAGAUGUUGCAUGGCUGAAGUUGGCUGAUUUUUGCAGAUGUAAGCCAGCGGAGGUUCUCCCCUGAAGCUGUGAAGAGUGACUGAUGGACUGGGUGUUUGCUGUUGCAUGUUACUCCGCUGAUGUCACCUUGAAGCUUUAAAAGGGGAUUAAACAAAUUCAGUGGCUACUACUCACAGGAUCAAAGGUAUUACGCCUUUGCAUCGGGAAACAGCGUUGAGAGGGUGAUGUUGUGAUCACAUCCUGCUUGUGAGCUUCCCAGAGGCAUCCGAUUGAUCAAUGAGAACAGGAUGUUGUUAAGACAAUUCUUACAGAAAGCUUAAAUAAAUGGUAGGCUGAUGGCUCUUCUUUACCAUGUCUCCAGAGUUGUAUAGAAUAACAGCUCCACCUCCCAGGGGAAAAAAACCAGCUCGGAGCCCCCUACACUUUGCCAACCUUCCCCUAACCCAUUAGAUGGAGGGGGGGACAGGACGAGAUGACCUAAUUGUGAUGUCACAUGACUGGCAUACAGGUUGCCCUGUCCAAAUCCCAACAUCAGAAAUUGAGAGUGUGGGAAGUGUUGCAAAGCAUGCCCCACACUGAUCCUUUCAACCCUCUGCUGUUCCUUGGCAUGUCCAAUUUAACCAAAUGCCUGGAUAAAAAACAACAGGACGUCCGACCAUCUGCAGGUGCCUUCUGUGCCAGUUUUAAACACCUGCUGAAAACCUUUCUGUCUUGCUAGGCCUAUCCUUCCUCAAUGGUUGCUGAUGUCUGUUUUUAACCUUUUUGCUAUCAACUUCCUUAUGUUUCUACUGUAUGGUAUUAUUGUUGUAAACCGUUUAUGCAAACCAAGGACACAUGCAAAGCAGUAUGCAAAUACUUUUAUAAAUAACUAAAUCUGAACAAUCAAAUAGCCUUAGUAGCAAUUCGCACACCGUCCCCCCUCUAGGGCAGCCCACUCUCUUCUCUGUCUCUCACACAAAUUGUCUCACUCUGUCCCAUCAGACUCUCACUCUGUGGCUUGUGAGCUACGGUAAACUCUUCUUCUCUCUCUCUCUCUCU